rnacentral:tRNA from 1 species
GCGGGUGUGGCGGAAUUGGCAGACGCACUAGACUUAGGAUCUAGCGCCUUAGGCGUGCAGGUUCAACUCCUGUCACCCGCACCA